UAGUGCCCUGAAUCAAGGUCGGCAGCUCACUGACGCUGCUGGUCUCAAGCAGGAGUCUAAAGAGAUGUCUUUCUAUGGUCUGUUGGCCAUUUCAGAACUUGGGCAGUGAAAAGGUCAAUUCGUUAGAGAGAAACAGCU
ensembl:snoRNA